rnacentral:lncRNA from 1 species
CUUUUUCUAAUAUUUGUGAGCCAUUUCCCCACCCCCUGCUUCUUUCUGCAUGCAUUUGCAUCAUCCAUCUCUGACUUCUUUCUAGGAGGUAGAGGCCUGCUGUUCACAGUAGAAUUUCCCUGUGAUUGGCCACCAUCAGCGCCCACACGCCUACAGGGUCCCGAGGAAGAGCCCAUGUGGACACCUCAGCCCUUACACUGGACCACUUUUGGUGGUCUCACCAGCCAGCCAUCAUCAGGAAGAAAUGUGUCUUGGCUGGAGGCCCACGUUUCGUUCCAGCACAUCCUUUUUACCAAAAGAGCCGUCCCUGGAGCUGCCAACAGUGUUUACAAGAAAACCAUCCAACAAUAGUUUGGAUCUGGGAGCGUGGCCUGACCACAGACGUGGCCUUCCCCACCCUGAGAACCAACCAUCAGGAAGCCUGGCACAUGAUACGAAAAGGCAGAGGUGCAGAAACAGACGCUGUGCAUGUCCCUGCAAGAGUGAUACAAGAUGACUGAGAAAUGUCAUCUGAGAGAAGGGGAAGAACCAGCCCUACAUUAAAAAGGUAAAGAAAUAGAAGAAAAAAAAAUCAUGAAGUCAGUGUGUAAUUAUAGUUGAUGCAUAUAUUGUAUUUUAUAAUGCCACCUGACCUGCCUCUUGAGAAAUCUGUAUGCAGGUCAGAAAGCAACAGUUAGAAAUGGACGUGGAACAACAGACUGGUUCCAAUAGGAAAAGCUGUACGUCAAGGCUGUAUAUUGUCACCCUGCUUAUUUAACUUGUAUGCAGAGUACACCAGGAGAAACGCUGGGCUGGAUGAAGCACAAGCUGAAAUCAAGAUUGCCAGGAGAAAUAUCAAUAACCUCAGAU